GGCGGUGUAGCUCAGUUGGCUAGAGCAUACGGUUCAUACCCGUACGGUCGGUGGUUCAAGUCCACUCGCCGCUACCA
rnacentral:tRNA from 1 species